CUCAAAGCACAAGAGUAGUGAUGCUGGCAAUUUGGAUAUACCAAAGAGAAGCUGUAAAAUGCUUCCUUUCAGUGAAAAAGUGAAAGUUCUCCAUUUAAUAAGUGUCUCCUAAGAACAUUUGUUUCCCGAACCACAGAAACCAUUAUUCACUCAUUAACCAUUGGGAUUUUUGUUCAAAGGCCCAUGAAUUAUUGCUACUUUAAAUUUGCAAGCAAAUUUAUAAUUGGAUCCUGAUGUCCCAGCACCCAUAAAUAUUUUAUAAUAAUUGUACAAACAACAUUUACAUUAAGG
rnacentral:lncRNA from 1 species